CCUACGGGAGGCAGCAGUGGGGAAUUUUGGACAAUGGGCGCAAGCCUGAUCCAGCAAUGCCGCGUGCAGGAUGAAGGCCUUCGGGUUGUAAACUGCUUUUGUACGGAACGAAACGGUCUGCUCUAAUACAGUGGGCUAAUGACGGUACCGUAAGAAUAAGCACCGGCUAACUACGUGCCAGCAGCCGCGGUAAUACGUAGGGUGCGAGCGUUAAUCGGAAUUACUGGGCGUAAAGCGUGCGCAGGCGGUUAUAUAAGACAGAUGUGAAAUCCCCGGGCUCAACCUGGGACCUGCAUUUGUGACUGUAUAGCUAGAGUGCGGCAGAGGGGGAUGGAAUUCCGCGUGUAGCAGUGAAAUGCGUAGAUAUGCGGAGGAACACCGAUGGCGAAGGCAAUCCCCUGGGCCUGCACUGACGCUCAUGCACGAAAGCGUGGGGAGCAAACAGGAUUAGAUACCCUGGUAGUCCACGCCCUAAACGAUGUCAACUGGUUGUUGGGUCUUCACUGACUCAGUAACGAAGCUAACGCGUGAAGUUGACCGCCUGGGGAGUACGGCCGCAAGGUUGAAACGUCAAAUGAAUUGACGG
rnacentral:rRNA from 1 species